rnacentral:rRNA from 1 species
CCGGCGACCGGCGCACGGGUGAGUAACACGUAUGCAAUCCACCUGUAACAGGGGGAUAACCCGGGGAAAUCCGGACUAAUACCCCAUAAUAUGGGCUCUCCGCAUGGAGGGUCCAUUAAAGAGAGCAAUUUUGGUUACAGACGAGCAUGCGCUCCAUUAGCCAGUUGGCGGGGUAACGGCCCACCAAAGCGACGAUGGAUAGGGGUUCUGAGAGGAAGGUCCCCCACAUUGGAACUGAGACACGGUCCAA